CAUUUUUGUGAUAAUAUUUUUUAGAUUAUUGUCAACUACCCCCCAAAUCAGCAAUUAACAACAGAGGAAAAAGAUCUUUUAUGGAAGUUCAGAUUCUCAUUAUCCAAUCAGAAGCAAGCUCUGACAAAGUUCCUAAAAUCAGUUAAGUGGAACCAAGCCCACGAAGAGAAGCAGGCAGUUGAGUUCCUUCACAAAUGGAGCCCUAUUGAUGUGGUGGAUGCAUUGGAGCUUCUGUCCCCCCAGUUUAAGAACCCCACCGUUAGGAGGUAUGCAGUCUCUCGAAUUAAAGAGGCAACGGAUGAGGAAUUACUAUUGUACUUACUACAGCUUGUGCAAGCCUUAAAAUAUGAGGAUUUUGAAGCAAUCAAAGCAGGAGUUGAGGAUCCUGCUGCAGUCAGAAAGGAGGCUGAAGCUGCUAUGAUAGAACGUGAAAGACUGAGAAGCUCAUCCAUGACUUCUGUUGAUGACCAACAUUCAGAUGACAGUUCAUCUUUAAGUAAAGAUGAAACUGAUGGCAGAGAAGAAGAGG